rnacentral:rRNA from 1 species
CCUACGGGAGGCAGCAGUAAGGAAUAUUGGUCAAUGGACGAAAGUCUGAACCAGCCAUGCCGCGUGAAGGAUGAAGGCCCUCUGGGUUGUAAACUUCUUUUAUCUGGGACGAAAAAAGGGCUUUCUAGCUCACUUGACGGUACCAGAGGAAUAAGCACCGGCUAACUCCGUGCCAGCAGCCGCGGUAAUACGGAGGGUGCAAGCGUUAUCCGGAUUCACUGGGUUUAAAGGGUGCGUAGGUGGGUCUGUAAGUCAGUGGUGAAAUCUCCGAGCUUAACUCGGAAACUGCCAUUGAUACUAUAGGUCUUGAAUCAUCUGGAGGUAAGCGGAAUAUGUCAUGUAGCGGUGAAAUGCUUAGAUAUGACAUAGAACACCAAUUGCGAAGGCAGCUUACUACGGGUGCAUUGACACUGAGGCACGAAAGCGUGGGGAUCAAACAGGAUUAGAUACCCUGGUAGUCCACGCCCUAAACGAUGGAUACUCGACAUCAGCGAUACACUGUUGGUGUCUGAGCGAAAGCAUUAAGUAUCCCACCUGGGAAGUACGACCGCAAGGUUGAAACGUCAAAUGAAUUGACGG